rnacentral:rRNA from 1 species
CUGAACCAGCCAAGUAGCGUGAAGGAUGAAGGCUCUAUGGGUCGUAAACUUCUUUUAUAUAAGAAUAAAGUGCAGUAUGUAUACUGUUUUGUAUGUAUUAUAUGAAUAAGGAUCGGCUAACUCCGUGACAGCAGCCGCGGUAAUACGGAGGAUCCGAGCGUUAUCCGGAUUUAUUGGGUUUAAAGGGAGCGUAGGUGGACUGGUAAGUCAGUUGUGAAAGUUUGCGG